rnacentral:lncRNA from 1 species
UUUGUUUUCAAAUAGCAGAUUAGAUCUAGAUUAGGUUUUUAUUAUUUUUAUUUUAAUUAUUCAUACGACGCCGUUUAAAGGUGGCGGCCCGCGCGGUGACCCGACCCGGGGAGGAUCCGCGUGUUUCGUGAGGAUGGGUUAUUUGCGCACGCGGUCCUUCCGCGUUUCUAGCGCACUUAAAUCCAGUCUUUUUUUUUCUUUUUAAAUUUAGCCUCUCGAUUUUCUUUUGUUUCAUUUUAGUCCAAUGCAACGCUGCGUUUUGAUAGGGCAGGG